rnacentral:lncRNA from 1 species
GUUUUAUAGGUACAAAAGGAAGAGAUGGACUAAUAGGCAAUAUAGGCUUCCCUGGAAACAAAGGUGAAGAUGGAAAAGUUGGUGUUUCCGGAGAUGUUGGCCUUCCUGGAGCUCCAGGAUUUCCAGGAGUUGCCGGCAUGAGAGGAGAACCAGGACUUCCAGGUUCUUCUGGUCACCAAGGGGCAAUUGGGCCUCUAGGAUCCCCCGGAUUAAUAGGACCCAAAGGUUUCCCAGGUCUCCAGGGCCCUGCUGGUCUCCCCGGUGCCCCAGGCAUCUCCUUGCCCUCACUCAUAGCAGGACAGCCUGGUGACCCCG